GAUGAACGCUGGCGGCGUGCCUAAUACAUGCGAGUCGAGCGAACAGACGAGGAGCUUGCUCCUCUGACGUUAGCGGCGGACGGGUGAGUAACACGUGGAUAACCUACCUAUAAGACUGGGAUAACUUCGGGAAACCGGAGCUAAUACCGGAUAAUAUAUUGAACCGCAUGGUUCAAUAGUGAAAGACGGUUUUGCUGUCACUUAUAGAUGGAUCCGCGCCGCAUUAGCUAGUUGGUAAGGUAACGGCUUACCAAGGCAACGAUGCGUAGCCGACCUGAGAGGUUGAUCGGCCACACUGGAACUGAGACACGGUCCAGACUCCUACGGGAGGCAGCAGUAGGGAAUCUUCCACAAUGGGCGAAAGCCUGACGGAGCAACGCCGCGUGAGUGAUGAAGGUCUUCGGAUCGUAAAGCUCUGUUAUUAGGGAAGAACAAAUGUGUAAGUAACUAUGCACGUCUUGACGGUACCUAAUCAGAAAGCCACGGCUAACUACGUG
rnacentral:rRNA from 1 species